ACGGGGGGGGUAAGCGUUGUUCGGAUUUACUGGGCGUAAAGGGCGCGUAGGCGGCGUGUUAAGUCAGCUGUGAAAUCUCCAAGCUUAACUUGGAACGGUCAGCUGAUACUGAUGUGCUAGAGUGCAGAAGGGGCAAUCGGAAUUCUUGGUGUAGCGGUGAAAUGCGUAGAUAUCAAGAGGAACACCUGAGGUGAAGACGGGUUGCUGGGCUGACACUGACGCUGAGGCGCGAAAGCUAGGGUAGCAAACGGGA
rnacentral:rRNA from 1 species